AGAACUGGAACUUGCUCUUACCUCCACAAUGAGCCAGCUCUUCCUUCUCCUCGUGCUGUUUGGUUACAGUGGAGCCAUGGAGCAGAUAGCUUCAUUCCAUCCUACAUUUCUUGAAGAAGAUUGCAUCCUGCUCAAUGAUUCAGGUUUCUGUUCACAGCCAACACUCACUCAACCUGCAUCACAGACUGUGUCUCUGGGACAAACAACUGAACUCUUUUGCAUUAGAAGUGAUGGAUACUGGAAUGAAAUUUCGUGGUAUCAACAGAGGUCUGGGCAAGCCCCCCGUUUUGUGCACUGUGCCGGCUGUGACAGGGGAGUAGGGAUCCCGGACCGAUUCACAGCCUCCCGCUCUGGGAAUGUGGGCUACUUAACCAUCACCAACACCCAGGCUGAAGAUGAGGCUGUGUAUUACUGUGGGGCAUGGUACAGCUAUGAUGAGCUUUAGGAUUAUGUUCUGGUGGAGAAACAAGAUGAAAACCUUCACUGUCCCUCUGGAGAGUGAGGGAAACAGCAUCAAGCAAGAGGUUAGCCUGGUCUUCAACAGGAAUUUGUGCUUACUGAGGGCCUUGGGUGCUUUAGUGAAAUGAGCUCACUUUAAAGAACUGAUUUCUUAAAUAUUUGCUUAAUUACUUUUGCUUAUGCUCUUGCUUCACUAGCCCACACAUUUCCUCUGUUUCGGCCGCCUGCAAAGGUGUGCCUUCAUGAGACCUUUCUGGUUAGGCAGAAAAUAGCUGUGGGUGUCAGAUUUUCUGUGCAAAGGUCUUCUCUCUGUGGCCUAAAGGAGCAGAUGCUGACCUAAGACUGAGGUUGUGAGGAAUUAAGGGCCUGCAGCUGUGACCUGGAGCAGAGUGUGAAAUGGUUUAAUACAAAUGGGUGCUUUUUCUGUGCCUUCCUGCCCAUUCAAAAACAGGCAGCUCUGUGUGCACCUAGCCCUUAGCAUUGUUACUGUGCCAACACUCCUGUCUUACAACUAAGAAUAUACAAAUGAAGAAAGCCAGCCCUUUGCAGUAUUCUUUGAAUUCCACCUCAAGAAACCUUCUGCCCAGCACGCAUUUCAAAUCAUGAGCUUUGCUUUUCUGUUUGCUUGAAGAGUCAUGUGCAUCAUUCCAA